rnacentral:lncRNA from 1 species
AGAACAGUGCAUAUCAAGAAGCAAUAAAAGAGCUAGUUUUAAUCAUUUAAGCACAUAAAGCCACGAGACUAUAAGCAUUUAUUUCAAUAGUAAUGAAACAAGAUAAUAUUUUCCAUCUGCUAGUUUGAAGAAAGAAGCAAAGCUACUGGUUGCAUCAUAUAUUUUUAAUUCGUUAUAUGUCACGACCCGAAACUCCUUAUCGAGCCUGUGACAACCGUCGUGAAGCCUCGACAGACAUUCUUCAUCCCGAAUGCCGAUUGAAACCUCGCAAAGCUCUCGUAUCAGCUUUUGCACUUUUUCGGUGAGCAAUAGUUAUCAAAUAUCGUAAUUUGAAGGAUUACGAGUCAUUUCCAAAUCAAAACAUAACAUAUUGUUUUCU